rnacentral:rRNA from 1 species
UGGGGAAUAUUGCACAAUGGGCGCAAGCCUGAUGCAGCGACGCCGCGUGAGGGAUGGAGGCCUUCGGGUUGUAAACCUCUUUCGCCAGUGAAGCAGGCCAUCUUCUUUGUGGGGUGGUUGACGGUAGCUGGAUAAGAAGCGCCGGCUAACUACGUGCCAGCAGCCGCGGUAAUACGUAGGGCGCGAGCGUUGUCCGGAAUUAUUGGGCGUAAAGAGCUCGUAGGCGGCUGGUCGCGUCUGUCGUGAAAUCCCCUGGCUUAACUGGGGGCUUGCGGUGGGUACGGGCCGUCUUGAGUGCGGUAGGGGGGACUGGAAUUCCUGGUGUAGCGGUGGAAUGCGCAGAUAUCAGGAGGAACACCGGUGGCGAAGGCGGGUCUCUGGGCCGUUACUGACGCUGAGGAGCGAAAGCGUGGGGAGCGAACAGG